AGCACCAUUUGAAAUCGGUUAC
rnacentral:miRNA from 1 species